rnacentral:tRNA from 1 species
GUGGGCGUGGCGGAAUGGCAGACGCGCCAGACUUAGGAUCUGGUUCCUCACGGAGUGGAGGUUCAAGUCCUCUCGCCCACACCA